AUACACGAGGGUUUGGUGGUGCCAUUAAUACGCAUGUCAGAGCGUUGGUGUACCCUUGCUAUAAAUACGGCUUGUUCAUGACAUCACUGCCACACUCUCAAAUUUGAGGCUCUACUCGUUAGAGUCUGCCUGAGAUACAAGCUCACAGAUAUAAGACGAACUCUCAUUGAGAACCUCAGGUUUGUGCCACUUCAUAAAAGAGUUGUAAAGAACCAUUAGUAUGAAUACCAUAGUUCACAUAGCCAUUUUGCUGGUCGUCAUGACAACAAGAUACCAAACAACAACAGCUCAAGGAACGAGUCACUGCGUGAUGAAAUGUGAAGAAUAUAAUAGAGCUUGUUUUUCACAGUGUCAAAGCCCCGACGACUGCAUAGACUGUGUUUUCUUAACAAGAGAUUGUAAAAAAAAUUGCAGAAAAACGGGAAAACGAGAAACGACAAUAAUGAGACAUUUUCUAAGAAAACGAAAUAUAUAGUUAUUUAAUAAAAUAUUAAAAAGUAUAGAAUUGAUUGGUGUAA